GGAUUGCCCUAGUAACGGCGAGUGAAGCGGCAACAGCUCAAAUUUGAAAGCUAGCCUUCGGGUUCGCAUUGUAAUUUGUAGAGGAUGAUUUGGGGAAGCCGCCUGUCUAAGUUCCUUGGAACAGGACGUCAUAGAGGGUGAGAAUCCCGUAUGUGACAGGAAAUGGCACCCUAUGUAAAUCUCCUUCGACGAGUCGAGUUGUUUGGGAAUGCAGCUCUAAAUGGGAGGUAAAUUUCUUCUAAAGCUAAAUAUUGGCGAGAGACCGAUAGCGCACAAGUAGAGUGAUCGAAAGAUGAAAAGCACUUUGGAAAGAGAGUUAAAAAGCACGUGAAAUUGUUGAAAGGGAAGCGCUUGCAAUCAGACUUGUUUAAACUGUUCGGCCGGUCUUCUGACCGGUUUACUCAGUUUGGACAGGCCAGCAUCAGUUUCGGCGGCCGGAUAAAGGCUCUGGGAAUGUGGCCUCCACUUCGGUGGAGGUGUUAUAGCCCAGGGUGUAAUACGGCCAGCCGGGACUGAGGUCCGCGCUUCGGCUAGGAUGCUGGCGUAAUGGUUGUAAGCGACCCGUCUUGAAACACGGACCAAG
rnacentral:rRNA from 1 species